GUAGGGAAUUUUCGGCAAUGGGGGAAACCCUGACCGAGCAACGCCGCGUGAGCGAAGAAGGCCUUCGGGUCGUAAAGCUCUGUUGUAAAGGAAGAACGGCGCAUACAGGAAAUGGUAUGCGAGUGACGGUACUUUACCAGAAAGCCACGGCUAACUACGUGCCAGCAGCCGCGGUAAUACGUAGGUGGCGAGCGUUAUCCGGAAUCAUUGGGCGUAAAGAGGGAGCAGGCGGCCGCAAGGGUCUGUGGUGAAAGACCGAAGCUAAACUUCGGUAAGCCAUGGAAACCGGGCGGCUAGAGUGCGGAAGAGGAUCGUGGAAUUCCAUGUGUAGCGGUGAAAUGCGUAGAUAUAUGGAGGAACACCAGUGGCGAAGGCGACGGUCUGGGCCGCAACUGACGCUCAUUCCCGAAAGCGUGGGGAGCAAAUAGGA
rnacentral:rRNA from 1 species